rnacentral:misc_RNA from 1 species
UUUCCGUAGGUGAACCUGAGGAGGGAUCAUUACCGAGUGAGGGCCCUCUGGGUCCAACCUCCCACCCGUGUUUAUCGUACCUUGUUGCUUCGGCGGGCCCGCCUCACGGCCGCCGGGGGGCACCCGCCCCCGGGCCCGCGCCCGCCGAAGACACCAUUGAACGCUGUCUGAAGAUUGCAGUCUGAGCAUCUUAGCUAAAUCAGUUAAAACUUUCAGCAACGGAUCUCUUGGUUCCGGCAUCGAUGAGGAACGCAGC